AUUGAACGCUGGCGGCAGGCCUAACACAUGCAAGUCGAGCGAGCGGCGGACGGGUGAGUAAUGUCUGGGAAACUGCCUGAUGGAGGGGGAUAACUACUGGAAACGGUAGCUAAUACCGCAUACCAUCGGAUGUUCCCAGAAGGGAUUAGCUAGGAGGUGGGGUAACGGCUCACCUAGGCUAAGAUCCCUAGCUGGGCUGAGAGGAUGACCAGCCACACUGGAACGGAGACACGGUCCAGACUCCUACGGGAGGCAGCAGUGGGGAAUAUUGCACAAUGGGCGCAAGCCUGAUGCAGCCAUGCCGCGUGUAUGAAGAAGGCCUUCGGGUUGUAAAGCACUGUCAGCGGGGAGGCGUUACCCGCAGAAGAAGCACCGGCUAACUCCGUGCCAGCCGCCGCGAUAAUAC
rnacentral:rRNA from 1 species